UCUGCGAAGACAAGAACGUCCCGUACGUGUUUGUGCCAUCCAAGACGGCCCUCGGCCGCUCGGCACAGGUGUCCCGCAACGUCGUUGCCCUCGCCAUCCUUCAGUCGGACA
rnacentral:ribozyme from 1 species